UGCCCAGUUGUUGCGUAGCCGGCACGCAACUCUAACUUCGAGCAAUAGGUAAUAAUCCGUAAAUGGAUAAUCGUGUUUCGUGUUGUAAAUUCGUUAUAUCGCGUUAUAUUUGCUGGAAUUUAGUGUUAAUAGACGGGUUAUAGUCGCUAAAUAUUUAUCGCGAUCGUUUGCCGUCGGAUGCCAGUCGGCCAUGUUGUGUAAUUGUAAAUAAUACUUUGGAGUUGUGCGAACCAUUUUUGUCUUCAGCAGAACACGACGAGCGGCUGUUCUACUUGUACUUGCUGUGCCCUGGCAAACCAAUGAGCUGCAUUGAGUAACGGUGAAAAACGAGCGAUAUUAGAGUGUUUAGAUGUUUUCCUGACAACGAUUCUUUCAUCGGAUUGUGUCUAGCGGGCGAAUUAAAUGUCCUAGGACAAUGAUUCUUUCAUCAGAUUGUGUCUAGCGGCGAAUGAAAUGUCCUAGGGCAACGAUUCUUUCAUCAGAUUGUGUCUAGCGGGCGAAUGAAAUGUCCUAGGACAACGAUUCUUUCAUCAGAUUGUAUCUAGCGGGCGAACGAAAUAUCGUAGGACAGCGAUUCUUUCACCAAAUUGUAAGUAUUAAAAUUCUUUAUUAUUCGAAAUUUUUUGGUCGAAUUUUUUUGUUAGAAUUUUUUCGGUUGUAUUUUUUUGUUAAAAUUUUUUCGAUCGAUUUUUUUCUUGUAAUAAAAUUUUCGGUCGAAUUUUUUUGUAAAAAAUGUUGUGGUCGAAUUUUUUGAUAGUUUUUUCGGUCGAAUUUUUUUGUAAAAAAAUUUUCGCUCGAUUUUUUUUUGUAAACAAUGUUUUGGUAGAAUUUUUUUGAUAGUUUUUUUCGGUCGAAUUAAAAAAAAACUUUUGGUCGAAUGUUUUUGUUAAAAUUUUUUGGGUCGAAUUUUUUUGUUAAAAAUUUUUUGGUAGUUCUUUUUAAUUUUUACGGUAAAAUUUUUUUGUUUAAAGUUUUUCGGUCGAAUUUUUUUGUUAGAUUUUUUUCCAUCGAAUUUUUUUGUUAAAAUUUUUUCGGUCAAAAAGCAGGAUCGAAUUUUUUUACAUGAAAAUUUUUCGGUCAAAGAACAGGGUCGAACUAUUUUGUUAAAAUGUUUUUCGAUCAAAGAACAGAGUCGAAUUUUUUGGCGAUUAUGUCAAGAAUCAAGAAAAUAAGUUACUAAAAUAAUCGAUGUAGGAUUAAAUUAUCUAUCAGGUUUCCGAUUUAAAAUAUAAUCGAAAUUAAUAGUUCCAUGCAUAGUGCGAGUACAGUUCGAUUCAUGUUCUGCACUACCACAUUGAAAGUGUCAGUGUUUACAAACAAACAUGUUUUCUUACGUCGUGCAAUUUUUGUGCGAUCGCCACGCGGUUGGCUUGUGUAUCACGUUAGUCUCAUUUUUGUCGUUAGGUGAUGUGCGUAAUGUUUCUUCGAUUGUGCGCGAUUGAUGUGCGGGGUUCGUACGAGUACCACGCGGAUUGUACAUACUCAGAGGUAAAACGUGAGUGAUGUUCCGUCGGCCGUCGUAUUUUUUUUGUAUUAUACGCGUAUUUCAUCAAUGUGCAUAAUUAAGGUCCAUACAACUUAUUGGAUAUACCAAAACAAAAAUUUAUUUUGCAUCAAGGUAUGUUCUCGCAUUUUUUCAGCCAUUUGAAAAUCAAAUUCAUUAUUGACUUUACUUGUUUCCGCUUUUCCAAUUGUUUUACAUGAUUCAAAAUAAAAUUCUGUUUUGUGCUUUAAUUUUUAAAUUUGGUUUUGUUUUUGUUAGAUUCCGAAAGUAAAUUAAAUUCUGAAUGCAGUAACACAAUUAUAGAUUAAGGCCCUAUUGACAUGUAAAAACCAAUUUUUGUAUUAAAAAUCACGAAGUAUAGAUAAAAGGAGUCCGAACGUCAUGUUAAAUUAAUGGUCACGAUCUAGGGGACCAAACAUUCGCCAAUAGAGCGCGCCACUAUGCGUUAGUGUACGCGUUUAAAUACUUUACUAUGGACACCGCCGGAAAAAAAUUCAACAUGAAACUAGGGAUAAUCCGUGACACGAAGUAUAGAUACCGAGAUAAUCUGAAAAGCAAAAAAAAAUCAGAUAUUAAUUAAUAACCAUAAAAAAAAUAUCAGGAACCACACCAUUUUAUUCAAAAAUAAAAAAAAAAGAAGAAUGCAAUGAAAAGGUUUAUAAAUAAAUUAAGUAAAUAAAUACAAAUUGCUUUAAUUUUUAUUAAUAUAAUUUAGAUAGCUUCCGGCAUUUUUUAGUUUUAACUGUCCUCUCGGUAGCACAUUUGUUGAAACAUUUGGCUAGAAAAUGUCCUCGCAUUAUUAAAAAAUUAUUAAUUAUUUUUUUGGUCAAAUUUUUUUUAUGGUCUUCACAGCCAACAAAAAUUGUGAUUUUCCUUUUUAAAACUUCGUCCAGUAUUUCAAACAUGGUAUCAAUUUUGACUGUUUUUGUGCCUACAACCAUUAGCACAAUUUCUUCCAAGCUUGAAAUUAAAUGAAACAACGAUUCACUUGGAUAAAUUAACGCCCCUUUGUCCAUAUAUGUUAUAUAUUUGUCCUGAGCCUUCACUGUUCUUGUGUGCAUAGCUUUCGUGCAAUCGAAGCAUUUGGAAAAUCUACUUAUUUUACGGGCUAUAUAUCCCGCAAUAUAGGAAAUGACAUAGUGGCUACUUUGUGCAAUGUCAUAAUCAUGGUCCACCGAGCUUAAUAAUACUCCAUUGUCAUUGUCAUUUGUCAUCGCUGGUAUUUCCGUCUGUAUUGUUAAGGUUUCCAGAUGCAUUUUCAAUUGUUGCAUCAAUUUUCUUGCUCCAGUUGUCCUUAUUUGUAUUACUUGCUUCAAAUGAUUCCAUAGUCUGCAUUAGGGAACAUAACAACUCUCCUGCAGUCACAUUGGAUCCUUUUGGAGGUGUUGGUAGUAGAAGAAUACUAUUUAAGUAAUUAAAUUAAUUCCAAUGAUUUCCAUUUAAGCUUCUUACCAUUACUUUCAAAUUUGCAUCAAUUUUAACAUGACAAACUAAUUCCAAUUUUGAACUUAUAUAUGACAACGAAAUUAAAGAAUUUAUUACGACUGUCCAACACCAAUUCUUUCGCAGUGGCUGAGUUUCUAAUAUAUUUUGGAUUGAAUGAAAAGAAAAUUCCUCAGUCUUAUUUAUGACCAGUAAAUUGUCAUCAUUAAUAACAGUAUUUGCACCAUCUGGAAAAUUUGUAUUUGCCGAAUUUACAUUUUCAGGCUCAAUCACUUCAUUUAUAAUUUCAUGUAUAGUAAUUAUUUCCCCUAAAUUAUGAUUGCAGUCACCAAUUAUUGAAUGAUCAACAAUAUCUAUAUCAAUUAUAUUUUCGUUGCUAUCACUAAUAAUAUUAGACUUAGGUUCCGCUUCCUUCUUUAAAUGAACUCUUUGAAAUUCAUGUACAUAUCCAGUACCAUCUUUUAGAACCGUUCGAUCAGUUUUAAUCACAUCCUCUGGAUUAAAAUGUAAUUCACAAAUAUAGCUGCUAGCUUUCAAAUUUUUGCCAAGAGCAGAACUCCAUUUCCUGAACAAUUUUGGGUCCUUAAAAAAGAAUUAUAUUUCAAUAUUUCACAAGAUACAUGAGAUUACAACAUAUUUUUAAAUCUUAGGGCUAUUAGUUAUAAAUUAAUUGUUUAUAACACAUAUUUUUCAAAGAUAUUACUCACCUUUGGUGCUUUGAAUAAAACUACUUUUUCUACCUUCUCACUGGUCUUUCGGCCACUAAAACAUCUUGGAAUAGCACAACACCUUCCCAUGUUUUCAACACUACUAAUUUUCAAUAAAUAAAUUAGUUCAAAAAAAUAAUACUAUCACGUUCCAAUUCAAAUUAAUGUAUACAUACAUAUAAAAGUUAAAAAUGUAUUUGUAAAUUUAAUUGAAUUCAAUUAAACAUUCACAAUCCAGCACGUGUUCAUGUGUAAUAAUAAUCACGAAGUAUCUAAACACACGAACGUCAUGUAAACAAAUUGUCUAAAUGUUGCUAUGAACACGAACCAACGUACAUCGAUUCACUAGUGAUUCAAGCGCACCCAGUGGCAGAAAGGUGAACUAUUAGCUUUGUAUAUAAUUGUGAACCAUGACUACGACGAAAAAGCCUAUACCGUUCGGACUCCUUUUAUCUAUACUUCGUGUUAAAAAUGUACAAUGAUACACCAAUACAUAAAUAAUAAAAGUAUACUAUACUACAAUUAUCUACCUGGUGUCCCCAACUAGAUGCUGACAAUUCUCUUUCCUGCUUAGUCGGUCGUGCGCGGUGGUGUCGUGAGCACGUGUUUUGUUCGUAGCUAUUAAUCGCGUUUCUGGUGAUUUUGAUUUAGUAGUGGCAUGAACGACAAUGUAUUUCAGCGAGCGCGGCUGAACGUUAAUGAAUUAUUGCUCGUGAUACCUGCUAUUGAGUGACUUUAUCUGAACAUUUGUGUCUACUGUCGAAUACCGCCCGGUUGUUGGCUUGUGCUUCUCAUUUGUGGUGUUCCGAACACAGGUUGAAGGAUUUUAUGAUGCAAUUUGGAACGUAUUCAUUAAAUUUUAUAUUAAUUUGGUUUGAUAUAAUGUGUGGUGAAACUAUUUUCUGUAAACUAAACAUGUUUGGUCCAUGAGGCAUUUUCCGUAUCCUUCUAAUGCUGCCAAAAUGUUACUACAGUGAGUAGUAACAUCAAUUCUACUAACAAUUCUACUUUGUGUGUAACGUUUGAUAACAGAGCGAUGUGGCUCGAUGGUACGUAGGAUAUGCCUUGGAUCGUACGUACGUUCGUUUUAUUAAAAAAAGAAAGAAGAAUGUAUUGUUAAACAUAAUUAAUAAAACUCAAUUUAAAAUUAAAA